ACGGGCCGGGGCGAUAGCGGUGCCUUGUACCUGCAACCCGCUCAGCAGGGGUCAUACCGUUUUUAAGGGCAGCUCCGUUCGGUCUGUGCCGCACCCUCCGUUCGUUGACGGGCGGGUCCCUCCGCAACUGAAAUCCACGAACCAUGUCAGGUGGGGAACCAAGCAGCAUUAAGAGGACUCUUCGGUGUGUUGGAGGGGUGCCUGCUCCGAGUGCGG
rnacentral:SRP_RNA from 1 species